rnacentral:rRNA from 1 species
ACUCCUACGGGAGGCAGCAGUGGGGAAUAUUGCACAAUGGGCGCAAGCCUGAUGCAGCCAUGCCGCGUGUGUGAAGAAGGCCUUCGGGUUGUAAAGCACUUUCAGUCGUGAGGAAGGUAGUGUAUUAAUNGGCCUGCUAUNUUUGACGUUAGCGAACAAGAAGAAGCGACCGGCUAACUCCGUGCCAGCAGCCGCGGUAAUACGGAGGGUGCGAGCGUUAAUCGGAAUUACUGGGCGUAAAGCGCAUGCAGGUGGCUUGUUAAGUCAGAUGUGAAAGCCCGGGGCUCAACCUCGGAAUUGCAUUUGAAACUGGCAGACUAGAGUACUGUAGAGGGGGGUAGAAUUUCAGGUGUAGCGGUGAAAUGCGUAGAGAUCUGAAGGAAUACCGGUGGCGAAGGCGGCCCCCUGGACAGAUACUGACACUCAGAUGCGAAAGCGUGGGGAGCAAACAGGAUUAGAUACCCUGGUAGCUACGAGU